UUUGUGACGCGUGAUAACAUUAUUGAAUUGAAUUUUUGUCGGACUGUAUUUAAAAAAAGAAAUAGACACUCACACACAGCACAAAGGCAGUCCGUAAUAUAAUAAUAAUAUUAAAAAGAAAGAGAAAAUCUAGGAAAAUCAAAUCGCGACAGGUUAAGUAACAAGAAUGGAGAGAAAGAAAGAGAGAGAGAAAGAGAGAAAGGAAGGAUGAUUGAAAAUGUGUUUGAAAUAGAGAAAGAAAGAGAUUUAAAAAAAUGGAAAAAAGUAGGUUUGUUACAUGAUGAGAAACUAGAAUGUAAAUUAAUUUAUUUUAUCGGAAGAACCGUUAUAUAUAUAUGUACUGUCGAGAAAGAACAGAAAGACGAAAAGUAAAAACGCAUAGAUGCAUCGAUUUACACCGUACAUCACAUGUAUGCACGACAGAUACACGCGUGUACAGACAGAUUGAGGGGAGAGUAAUCGAGACGACACUCUGUCAUCUUUCGAGAUGUCGAAAUUGAUGGCUGUAAAUAAAAUAAAUAUUUGUCUAAAUGAUCAAAUGGAAAAUUCGAUCGAGGAAGAUUGAACUUCUUGAGCGCUUUUGCGACCGCGCGAAUAAUUGUAUUUACCGAAAUGAGUAUAUUUUCUCAAAAAUUUGGAAAUUUGCAAAAGUAAACGCUUAUAUUACUUGAUUUGAUUAAAUACCUUCGUGUUGAGUCCCGUUUCAAUCGUGAUUAUUCUUCACGUUACAACCUGCGUCCAACGAGAUCUCCAUCUCUUCCCCUUCUUCUGGAUGUCUCUUCUCCUAUAUCAAUCAUCACCAUCACCAUCACCAUCAUCAUCACUAUUGUCACCAUUAUCAUCACUAUUGUCACCAUCAUCAUCACUAUUGUCACUAUCAUUAUCAUUACUAUUACUAUUAUCAUUAUUCGUGCAUCCAGCGGAGUUUCACGUUAGGAUCCGACUUAGGAUUGAUAGUUGAGAAUUGAGUGAAAGAGCAAUAAGGAGGGAGAGAGAGUGUGUAGGAAAGCUUUUUACCAAAAAUAUGCGAGAACCGCGGACUACUCGCGCGACACACGAGAAACUGAUAUGAAAAACAGCAGUGAGUAGGUAGUUAGAUAGAGUUUUAGUGAAGAGAGAGAGAGAGAGAGAGAGAGAGAGAGAGAGAGAGAGACGAGUCGCGUCGCGUAGUUAUUAUUAUAAUAUUACAAUAAUAGCGCUGUAUUAUUAUAAUUAACGAUUUACUAUUAUUGACGUCAUCUAAACGUAUGAAAGAUUUUUACACUGUUGAGACUUGAAGUAAAUAAUAUAUUUAGUUUAUUUUGGUACAUCACGAUGACGAGAGAGUGAGAGUGAGAAAUAGAGAGAACGAGAGAGAUAAAUUGACGAAAAAAUAAAAAAAAGCCGAGAGCAAAGAAGUAGAAAGGCGGAGUACGAGCUAUUUUUUAAGAAACAGACUUUAUUACUCGAUUUGAGUCCAUGCAUUAAGGUAAAAAGUAAAUAAAAAGAACGCAGAGGAUAAGUGUGAAAGGAAGAAUGAUUUUUGCAUGAAAGGGGUCGUGUACGAAAGAGUGAGAGAAAGAAAGUGAAUGAAAGAUGGGAAACUGAGAAGAAAAUGCGAAAGAGAGAGAGAGAGAGAGAGAGACUCGCUAAUUAGCGAGUGCGUAUUGUGUAUUUAUUGCACAAGGCGAGAUUGUCACCACUUGACUGACAAAAAAAUCCACAUGUGAUUUUAAUAGUAAAUUUUGAGAAUUUUACUAAAUAGAGACUCUUGUAUACACUAAAAAAAGUAACUAAAGUAAUUAUCGUGACUGACCAAACGAAGAAAAGGGAAAAAAAGGAGAAAAGUGAGUAAACAGAGCAGCAGUAAUAGUUGCGCCGACUGGUUCAGGGGUCGAAGAAGGGAAAGAAGAAGGGAUCAAGAUAGCGAAUAUAAUCUAUCGUGUGUCUAGCAUCCCCGGAUAUGGAAAAAGUUAGAUUCCACAAGAGUGACCGGAAAAGAAGGGUAGCCGGAAUAGAAAGAAAGCUAGAGAGAAAAGGAGAAAAAGAGCGAUCGCGAGCGAGAGUAUAGUUAUUAUGUACAGAAAAACGUGCAGAGACGCGUCUUCUUUUUUUUUUUUUCUUGCGGCGACGUGUUUUUUCGCAUACAGGUAGAGUUGAACAUGAUGAUUUAAAAAAAAAACCGUAGGAUAAGCAACGAGCGAGCGAGGACUCGCUCGGAUUAGGAGAUAAUAGGAAAAGGGGCGAUCUUUUAUCGGAUUAAGAAGCGGCUAAGUUUAUAAAUAGACGUAGAUAGGUAGAAUAAUAGUUUAGUUAUAUAGUAGUUAGGAUACGAAUAUGCCUCUCAUCCCCCGUGUCCCCUAUCCUCCCUCUGUGUGUUGUCGCGGGCACGGGGGGCACGGGCGUGGGGCACCGUUCAGCCUAUGCACCUCGCACCCGUCAAGACUGACUGGCUAUUCAUAUUAAUUGAUAAAUAUAUAUAUAUAUUAUUCUACACACACAUAUAUAUAUAUAUGUAUAUAUAUAUAUAUAUAUGUAUGAACUACUUGUAUAAUUGUAUAAAUAGUAAGGAACUAUUUGCUUGCUGCGCACCGCGGGUCGGGUGCGUGGGCUGGCCGGAUGUGGGCUCUUUGAACUCGAUAGGGUACCGGAGGCUUGUAGGGUUUCCGCGGUAGAAAAUUACCCUCAAUCCGAGGACCGGAAACGCACGGAAACGAUUCCUUCCGACUCCGGUCAUUCGAGGGAUCCUCCCACAUGAACGUUAGACGCGAAUAAUCAUACGAAUUUUUUUUCCUAUACGAUUCUUUGCCUCUAACAAGUUCUUAAGAACUUUUCACCGCGAGAACUGUCGAGCCUUCCGCAGCCCGGCCGCCAACAAGUUUCGGGCAGGAAAACGGUUCUUGCCGUUGCAGACAAUGCUGCUUUCCGUAAAGCUUUCUCUAGAGUUUUUCGCGCGUAGACACUCUUUAGAUUAGGCGUACUGUAGUUGAUAGGCUGAUUGUAGAAAAGGAGAUGAGAGGGAGCGAAAAACUGAUUGGACGAGAAGGCGAGGCGUAAAAAAUAUAGAAUGUUUUUAAGAAUAAAAUAACGUUAGUCGAAAUCGGCUUAAGAGAAUGAAAGCGAAUACGAUGUAUGUUAGCAUGUAUGAGAUAGAGAGAAAGAGAGAAAGAAGAAAAAGAUAAGAGCAAAAGAAAUAAGGGGGAACGAUGUCGUCGGACGCUGAGGUCUCUUUUUAAAUCCGCGCGCGAGGAUCAAUUUGUAGAAUUUCGAGAGUACUUUUUAAGGCAGAGGUGAAAAGAAGGCGUUUAGUAUGUAAUGUGAAGAAAAAAUUUUUAGACGUUAAGGCAAGUUGUGUCAUAGUUAGUUAAGAGAUCUAGGGAGACUCUUAGGAAGUCGAAUAGGUGCUGUAAUAAAACAAAGUUUAACACAAGAAACAAGUCAGAAUUAGAUUUUUCAUGAAUAAAGUAAAUUUAAAAAAUUAAAAAAAAAAUGAAUGAAAAAAAGCUCGAGAUAAGAGGAACGUAAAGAAAAAAAAAUAAGGAACGUAACACACGUGACGUUGACGACACAAGGGGCAUAAGCCACUAAAAAGUGCCCUUAGUUUAUUUUGGAUCGUUUAAAAAAAACGCUAGUCUUUGUGUGUGAGAGAGCGAGAGAAAGAGAGAGAGAGAGAGAGAGAGCGCGAGAGAGAGAGAGAAAACGAGAGAAAGAUAGUAAUGUGGGGGUUUUUUUAGAUAGGAUCUUCGAGAAUAAACAGGCAAACACAAAUGAAAAAAAAAAAAA